UACGUAGGGUGCGAGCGUUGUCCGGAAUUAUUGGGCGUAAAGAGCUCGUAGGUGGUUUGUCGCGUUGUUCGUGAAAACCGGGGGCUUAACCCUCGGCGUGCGGGCGAUACGGGCAGGCUAGAGUUCGGUAGGGGAGACUGGAAUUCCUGGUGUAGCGGUGAAAUGCGCAGAUAUCAGGAGGAACACCGGUGGCGAAGGCGGGUCUCUGGGCCGAUACUGACGCUGAGGAGCGAAAGCGUGGGGAGCGAACAGG
rnacentral:rRNA from 1 species